rnacentral:rRNA from 1 species
ACGGCUCUGGGUCCACCUCCCACCCGUGUUUAUUGUACCUUGUUGCUUCGGUGCGCCCGCCUCACGGCCGCCGGGGGGCUUCUGCCCCCGGGUCCGCGCGCACCGGAGACACUAUUGAACUCUGUCUGAAGAUUGCAGUCUGAGCAUAAACUAAAUAAGUUAAAACUUUCAACAACGGAUCUCUUGGUUCCGGCAUCGAUGAAGAACGCAGCGAAAUGCGAUAACUAAUGUGAAUUGCAGAAUUCAGUGAAUCAUCGAGUCUUUGAACGCACAUUGCGCCCCCUGGUAUUCCGGGGGGCAUGCCUGUCCGAGCGUCAUUGCUGCCCUCAAGCACGGCUUGUGUGUUGGGCUCCGUCCCCCCGGGGACGGGUCCGAAAGGCAGGGCGGCACCGAGUCCGGUCCUCGAGCGUAUGGGGCUUUGUCACCCGCUCUGUAGGCCCGGCCGGCGCCAGCCGACAACCAAUCAUCCUUUUUUCAGGUUGACCUCGGAUCAGGUAGGGAUACCCGCUGAACUUAAGCAUAUCAAUAAGCGAGGAAA